CGGGGUGUAGCGAAGUGGUAUCGCGCACGGUUCGGGACCGUGAGAUCGGGAGUUCAAUCCUCCCCACCCCGA
rnacentral:tRNA from 7 species